GCGGGAGUGCCGGAGCGGCCAAACGGGCUAGGUUGAGGGCCUAGUAGCUUAGUGCUUACGCGAGUUCGAAUCUCGUCUCCCGCA
rnacentral:tRNA from 1 species